rnacentral:rRNA from 1 species
AUUGAACGCUAGCGGGAUGCUUUACACAUGCAAGUCGAACGGAGUGGCGAACGGGUGAGUAAUGUACCGGAACGUGCCCAGUAGCGGGGGAUAACUACGCGAAAGCGUAGCUAAUACCGCAUACUAUUGGAGCGGCCGAUAUCGGAUCAGCUAGUGGGUGGGGUAACGGCUCACCAAGGCGACGAUCCGUAGCUGGUUUGGGGGGACGACCAGCCACCCGGGGACUGAGACACGGCCCAGACUCCUGCGGAGGGCAGCAGUGGGGAAUUUUGGACAGUGGGGGAAACCCUGAUCCAGCCAUCCCGCGUGUGCGAUGAAGGCCUUCGGGUUGUAAAGCACUUUUGGCAGGAAAGCGGUACCUGCAGAAUAAGCACCGGCUAACUACGUGCCAGCAGCCGCGGUAAUAC